rnacentral:lncRNA from 1 species
GCCUUGAUGAACAUUUCACCUUUAUAGCCUGGUUAGAAAGUUAAGUUCUCUGAACAAAUGACUAGUAAUCACUUAUUGUUAGAAAGCAGAUAGAUCUGCUUCCCAUUCUUCCACCACCACCAAUUCAGGGAUGGCUUGUAUUUCUUCCAGUCACCAAGUAUUGGGGACGCUUUGGGUAUGGAGGAAGAAUCAAAUAUAUUGGUCAUAAGAAGUCGGAAAGCUUAGAACGGGAGAAGAAAAUGAUUCUCAAAGCAGUAGCACUUACCAAAUCUAAUCCCCUUGAGCUGGAACCUUCACCAGUGAUGUCUGAAGGGAGAGCUAAACUCUUCCAGAAGCCCAAGUUCAAACCUCUCCCUCUUCAAAAGCGGUGGCAAGAGAAAUUCGAUCGAUCUGAGCAGUUCCCCAAGAUGCGCGAGGUUCCCCCUUGCUCCAGUUUUCCCACCCGGCAGUGGAGGAAGGCUCAGAGCCGGGACAGCUCCAGUAGCCGGAGCAGCGUGUCCUCUGAGCGCCUGACAGUAAUGAUUAAUUUCAUCCCGCCUCCUGGGAGAGAGUCCCGCCCGGCAACUGACCAGCGGCCCAGGUGGACAGCACUGGUCACGAGACUCCUCGGCACUAGCUCCAAGAGCCUUCCGCAACUACAAAUCGGAAACUCAGAAACUUUCCAAGAAUGAAGUUAUGGGAGCAAAGAAGGCAAUGAGCCUGCAGUGCCCUGUCUUUUGGAGAUAGCAAUUCAGUGUUGAAGGAGCAAGACCAAGGCUAGGCAGCAUGCAGGGAAAAGAGUUCUGUCAGCAAAACCCUGAUUACAAACAGGUGGCUCCAACUACAAAAGACAGAAAGGCAGUAAGUCACAAACAGCCAAACCCAGAACUAUGUGCACAUAGUUUUUCAUUCUGGCAUUUUAACGAGAAAUAAAAGGAGAUUUUUU